UCAAACUUGGUCAUUUAGAGGAAGUAAAAGUCGUAACAAGGUUUCCGUAGGUGAACCUGCGGAAGGAUCAUUAGAGAUUUAGUAAAUCUUAUCACUCUUGUGCAAUUUGCGAAGUUCGAUAUCCUUGGAGAGAUCAUAUCGCGUGAACUCUCCAAGGAGGUUAUCAUUAUCAAUGUAUUUUUCUCUACUCUCUCAUGUCUAAAUCAAUAAAUAUAACUGAAACAACUUUCAACAACGGAUCUCUUGGCUCUCGCAUCGAUGAAGAACGCAGC
rnacentral:misc_RNA from 1 species